ACUGCCCCUAGAGGCAGGUGUGGCUGCUGUGUCACAUGUGUAAAAGUCGGUGUCAGAGAAGAAAAAGGCUAUGUCUAUGCUCAGUGUUCUGAUCUAUGGCCAUCUAAAUGAUCAGUAACCUAAAAAA